UAGGGAAUCUUCCACAAUGGACGAAAGUCUGAUGGAGCAACGCCGCGUGAGUGAAGAAGGUUUUCGGAUCGUAAAGCUCUGUUGUUGGUGAAGAAGGAUAGAGGCAGUAACUGGUCUUUAUUUGACGGUAAUCAACCAGAAAGUCACGGCUAACUACGUGCCAGCAGCCGCGGUAAUACGUAGGUGGCAAGCGUUGUCCGGAUUUAUUGGGCGUAAAGCGAGCGCAGGCGGAAUGAUAAGUCUGAUGUGAAAGCCCACGGCUCAACCGUGGAACUGCAUCGGAAACUGUCAUUCUUGAGUGCAGAAGAGGAGAGUGGAACUCCAUGUGUAGCGGUGGAAUGCGUAGAUAUAUGGAAGAACACCAGUGGCGAAGGCGGCUCUCUGGUCUGCAACUGACGCUGAGGCUCGAAAAGCAUGGGGUAGCGAACAGGAUUAGAUACCCUG
rnacentral:rRNA from 1 species